rnacentral:lncRNA from 1 species
NNNNNNNNNNNNNNNNNNNNNNNNNNNNNNNNNNNNNNNNNNNNNNNNNNNNNNNNNNNNNNNNNNNNNNNNNNNNNNNNNNNNCCCACCCAUCCAUCCAAUCAUCCUUCCACCCACCCAUCCAUCUGUCCACCAGUUUACCCACCCAUCCACCCAUACUUCCAUCCGUCCAUCCAUCCAUCCACCCACCCAUCCAUCCAUCCAUCCAUCCAUCCAUCUAUCCAUCCAUCUGUCCAUCCAUGCAUCCAUCCAUCCACCCAUCCAUCCAUCUAUCCAUCCAUCCAUCCAUCCAUCCAUCCAUCCACCCAUGCAUCCAUCUAUCCAUCCAUCUGUCCAUCCAUCCUUCUAUCCACCCACCCAUCCAUCCUUCUGUCCAUCCAUCCAUCUAUCCAUCCAUCCAUCCACCCAUCCAUCCAUCCAUCCAUCCAUCCACCCAUCCAUCCAUCUAUCCAUCCAUCUGUCCAUCCAUCCAUCCAUCCAUCCAUCCAUCCAUCCAUCCAUCCAGUUGCCCUUACAGAGUCUAGCCUGUGCUAAUGGUAAAGUGAAAGGUAAUCCUCCUUUCUGUGAAUUUUAUGUAUUUAUGGAAAGGGAUGACACAUACACCUCCCUAUCUGUAAUGAUACUAUGUGGUGCUAAAAUAAGACUUUCUCUGCAAACACAGACUGUAGAGCAACUAAAACCGGAAGUGAGGAAGUCUUAUUAGAGAAUGCACCAUGGCAGCUUGAGCCUAAAGAAUGAGCAAGAAUUCUGCUUCUCAAACCAGGAUGGGGGUUGUCUUAGGCAUCAAGAAUUGCACAGGCAAAAGCUAUCAAUAUAUGAAUACACAAAUACCCCCUACACACACACACACAAAAAAAAAACCCAUAGAUAGUUUAUCAGGGGAGCCACAGGCAAUUCCAUGAGCUCGUGCAGUAAGACAGAGGGGAGUGAGGCAUGAGGGUGGGUGAGUUGGGAGCAGAUUGCUCAAUACUUUGUUUACCGGCCUACGGAGCUUAGACUUCAAGAAUAUCUAUUGUAUAAAAGCUCUUCUUCAGGAAAUUCCCAAUAACUUUACUUCUUCCAAUUAAGUCCUGCUAGGAGAUUCAGCCUACUGUUAUUCCCCUAAAUGACCCCCAGGAGGGCAGGUGGGGGACAGCUGGUGGAGCCAGGCUGGGCCUGCCCCGGGAUCCCAGUGCUGCCCCAUCUCCUGCUGCGUCAUGCUCAGAACUGCGCAGAGCACCCUGACUUGCUUGGAUUCUGUCUACAGGAUGCAGGGGCAACCGGCGACCCGCCUGAACAUUCCGGAGGCUUUGCUCAGCCCCGUGCAUGGCUGUGACAGGCGUCAGCUCAGACAGGGCUGGGAGUCUGAAUGACUCAAGAGGUGUCAUGGCGCGGUGGCUGAUGGCGUGGGCAGUGGGGCCAGUUGCUUGGCUCAUUUCUGGCUCUGUCCCUUAAAACUGCAUGGCUUAUAAAAUGCAUAUUGAUGAAAUCACGUACAUGGCUAAUCGCAACACCUCCCUCCCAGAAGGCUCCUGCGGGUGCCAUGUGUUCAGAUGAUGUAGCACACACCAGAACACUGCCUGGCAAAAUAGACGCCCGCUGCUCUGUGUCCUUUCGGACUCACGUGUUGUCAGGUCACACUGCAGUCCAGCUGGUCUCUUAGGAUGCCCUUCAUAAAAAACAAGCUAAAAGAGGCCAGGCGUGGUGGCUGACGCCUGUAAUCCCACCACUUUGGGAGGCCAAGGUGGGCGGAUCACUUGAGGUCAGGAAUUCGAGACCAGCCUGACCAACAUAGCGAAACUCCGUCUCUACCAAAAAUACAAAAACUAGCCAGGCCUGGUGGUGGGUGCCUAUAAUCCCAGCUAAUUGGGAGGCUGAGGCAGGAGAAUCGCUUGAACCCCAGGAGGCAGAGGUUGCAGUGAGCCGAGAUCGUGCCAUUGCACUCCAGCCUGGGGGACAAGGGUGAGACUCUUGUCUCAAAAAAAAAAAAAAAAAAAAAGCGAAAAGAGUAUAUACAUUGUGCUGUGGUGGGACAGACACUCUAAUGCAUGUUGCUAGGUAUGUUAUGGAACAUUUACUUAUUCAGUUACUCAAGAAACUCCACCGUGCUGUAGACACCCUCCCCAUUUCUAAACUACACAGAAAAUAUUGCUUACAAUUGGCUUUAGUUUUCUUUUAUCCGUGUAGUAUCUCGUUGCUUGAACCACUGUAGGAAUACUGAAGGCAGACACUAAGAGCAGAAGCCACUUUUCUCAUUCCCCAGGACAGCACAGAACCUUGCUUUUAGUAGCCGUACGGCCAAGUUAAAUAUGGGCUGCAUUUUACAAGGAAAAUGUAUCUCCUGAGUGGUGUUUCCUCCUGGCUAGCUUUAGGCUGUAUAAUUCUGCACAUUUUCAUGGUCCCCUUACGCUAUUUUCUGUGCCUUAAAGCAUACUGAGAAAAUGUGGAUCAGGGCUGGGUGUGAGGACGGCCAGUUCCACGGGGCAUUGGUGUCAGUGACGGCACCGACUCCCUUCUUGCUUCACCCACCCUCGGUCCUGCCUGCCCAGAAGCUGUGGGCCUGUUUUCAUUUGGGCCUGGAGAGGAAAUAACCUUGAAAAGCAAUAUUUGUAACAGCAGUUGAAAGUGAACCAAUACAUUGAAUCAAAGAGAAAUCCGGACCGGGCAUGGUGGCUCACACCUGUAAUCCCAGCAAAUUUAGGAGGCCGAGGCAGGUGGACCAUUUAAGCCCAGAAGUUCAAGACCACUCUGGGCAACAUAGCGAGAUCCUGUUUCUACUAAACAUACAAAAAUUAGCCAGCUGUGGUGGUGCGCCCCCAUAGUCACAGCUACUUGGGAGGCUGAGGUGGGAGGAUCUCUUGAGCCCAGGAGUUGAAGCUGCAGUGAGCCAUGCUUGUCCACCCCCUGGGUUCAGGUGAUUCUCCUG